rnacentral:rRNA from 1 species
UGUGUGUCGUAGUUAACGCGUUAAACAGGGCGCCUGGGAAGUACGGCCGCAAGGCUAAAACCCAAAGGAAUUGACGGGGACCCGCACAAGCAGUGGAGCGCCUGGUUUAAUUCGAUGGUCAGCGAAGAACCUCACCUAGGCUUGAACUGUAGCUGCACACUCCCAGAAACGGGAGAAUCCUUCGAGGGUGCUACAGAGGUGCUGCAUGGCUGUCGUCAGAUCGUGUCGUGAGAUGUAGGGUUAAGUCCCACAACGAGCGCAACCCCUAUUCAGUGUUAUAAUUACUCUGAAGACUGCCCUGUCCAAACGGGGAGGAAGGAGGGGACGACGUCCAGUCAUCAUGUCCCUUAUGUCUAGGGCUACACAGACGCUACAAUGGUCGGUACAAUGGGUUGCCAAACCGCGAGGUGGAGCCAAUCCCAUCAAAGCCGGUCCCAGUUCGGAUUGCAGUCUGCAACUCGACUGCAUGAAGUUGGAAUUGCUAGUAAUCGCGAAUCAGCACGUCGCGGUGAAUACGUUCUCGGGUCUUGUACACACCGCCCGUCAGGCACGGGAGUCGCUCUUGCUCGAAGU